rnacentral:rRNA from 1 species
AGCCUCAACUCAUGUGAGAC